rnacentral:rRNA from 1 species
GAUCAUGGCUCAGGAUGAACGCUGGCGGCGUGCUUAACACAUGCAAGUCGAACGAAGCACUCUAUUUGAUUUUCUUCGGAAAUGAAGAUUUUGUGACUGAGUGGCGGACGGGUGAGUAACGCGUGGGUAACCUGCCUCAUACAGGGGGAUAACAGUUAGAAAUGACUGCUAAUACCGCAUAAGCGCACGGUGUCGCAUGACACAGUGUGAAAAACUCCGGUGGU